GCAGUUUUGAAGAAGUGUAGGAUGCCGUGGAGGCAAGCGCGCUCCCGACGUUCGUGCGCGUGCACGGGGAGGUAUCGGAAUCCGGCAGCUGAAAGGCGUUAUUAAGGGUUGUAGUGGUCAGUCUGAGCUGGGCCUGAUUAUUUAAAUUGUCUGAAUUAGUGCCAUGAAGGGAAUUGAUUUGAUGCUCCGUUGGCUUCAAACAAAGUUAACGGAAAACCCCAUCACAAAACAUUUAGCUUACAGAGCGUGAAGCUAUUAUGUGCACGUUGCCUGCAGCUGAGCAGAGUGUAUCCUCUUUAAAACCUCAUUCAUUCACCCAUUAUAUUUUGGGAGUGGAAGGUUGCAAAGUGAUGCACCACAGAUGGUCUUUGGAAUGUAAUCCAGAGGAAUCAGGCUGCUCUUCCUCCCAUCAGCUACAGCGCCAGAGGGGACAAUGCUGUUCAAGAGAUGAUCUGGCAUGUUCUUAUUGGGCCUUGUGGUGGAAUUUCCUGCAGCAGCAGGACUCACUCGCCUCCAGUCUAUGAGCACAGUGCUGAGUGAAGACAGAGAGAGGGGUGGAGGCUGCGCCAGACAUCUGUGUUGGAGAGGGAUAAGCUCUAUCGGGGUUAUUGUAGCUCCA
ensembl:lncRNA